UUUACAAGUGUAUGUUCAACGAAACUAAAAUUGAUCCAUGCUGCCCAACAUUCAAGAGCAUACUUGGUACAAGUUGCCCUUGCUAUAAAUAUGCAGAGAAUUUGGAUAAUCAAGUGUUAAUUACUAUUGAAGCUUAUUGUGAUGUGGAUAGCCCUUGCAAGGGUGUUCAAGUAAGUUAUAACCCCCCUACUAAUUGAAGCUUAUUGUGAUGUUUAUAGCCCUUGCAAGGGUUUGCAAGUAAGUUUAUCUGUCGUUUAAAAUUUUGACGCACUCAUUAAUAAGGUUAUUUACCAGAACUAAUAUUGACGUGUAUUUAACUAAAUUACCCUUUACCAACAAAGGUUGUGGUGGAGUGGUAAGUACUCCUUUAUCCUUAACCAAAGAUCUCGAAUUCGAGCCCUUGGGUAUGGAGUCGUCUUUGUUAGGGAGCGCUUUACCCCCAUUGUGGGACUUCCCGGCGCGAACCCGAAAUUAGUCGGGCCCUAAUGUGGAACCGGAUACCGGGUGGGAAACCAAAAAAAUCUAAAUACCCAUUCAUUUUCCUUAAAACGAGUGGUCACUGAUUGUAUGUGUCUUUUCUUUUUCAAAUUAUUUUUCUAUAUACAUAUCGAUGCAUUAUGUUAAUUAAUUUCAGGCGAUUAAGCUGUCCAAAGAGGAAGAGUACAAAUAAAGAGACUUGAUGUUUAAUUCCAGAUGUUGUAUUAGAUGAUUUGAUGUUACUCUUCCUGUUGAGAAGUCUUUGGGUUAUGGUUUAGUCUACCAUUUUGUAAGACUUCUGUAAUUUCUCGGAAGUCCACUUGUAAUGUCUGUGUUUCAGCAAUAAUUGGCAUCUGUCGAAUUCUUAGUACUAAAAUAUUAUGGGAAAAUUCAAAAAUAGCCGGAUAUAGAAUUGAUUAUUCAAAAAUAGUUGCGAUUUUAAAAGUAAUCAAAAUUUAGUCAUUUUCAUAUAAACAUAAAUUUGAACGAAAAUACUAAAUAUUCCAGUAUAAUUUAUUGAUGUUCCAGCAUAAGUAUAGUAGAGAUCCAACAUAAUAUAUUGGAUUUCCAGUAUAAUAUACCGGUUCAGCAUAAUAUGCUGGAAGUUUAUACACAGGUACUCCAAUCUCCAGUAUAUUAUGCUGGAACUUUCCGCGUGUUGGAAUUCCAGCAUAAUAUGCUAGAAGUUCAUGCAGAUAUGCACCGAUCUCCAGUAUAUUAUGCUGGAACAUUUUGUGUUGCUGUAAAAUAAUGGUUAUUUUUUAAUAACUGGCUAUUUUUGAAUGACCAAUCCGAAAACUGGCUGGCCAGUGCUAUUUUUACAAAUAUUACAGUGCUCUUUGUAGUCCAUUUUUCUGUAUUUAUUUUUUUCUUUUCUCUUUCUUAUUUUAAGAUAAACAGACAUUAGUUAGAAUAAAAAUGAUUAGGGGCGGAGUUACAGUGUCAAAUGCGGGUUCGACCGAAACGAUUAACUUUUGUCUAUAGUUUGAGUUUUGUUUUGAAAAAAUAAUUGUUACAUACGUAUAAAUAUAUAAUUUACAAUAACUUAAUAGGACUGUUUCAAAUUCUGACUCGCUAAAAAAGAUAGGUCUCCACGGCGAGGAAUGAAAGAACUAUUAUGAAUCCUGUAAAGACUAUAUAUAUAUAUAAUCUUUUUUUACUUUUUAAAUAAUAAAUUAGUCCUUAAUACCAUAUCAUAUUUAGUUACAAACAAACUUAUUUUUGUCUCAAUUUUCGUAGAAGAAGAAGAAAAAAAGAAUCGUGACUAGAUAAUUGUGAUCCUUCCAACCUUAGCCAUUGGAACUUUAUGAAUACAGAAAUUCUCGAUUAAAAAUAUAAUACUUUUCUCUUAAUAAAACUUACAAUGCGAAUUCAAAUUUGCAAUGAUUUUCAAAUAUAAUUAAUAUUAAUAAAAGGAAAACAAGGAUAAUGCCCGACAACCACGUCAUCAAGACUUUGAUUGCAGUAACUGAAUAAAAAAGAUUAUCAUGAGUUGACUGGUUGAAGUAAAUUUUAUAGUUGUACAAUUAUUCAUACAGUAAAAGUUAGGUAUGAGUGAUUCAAAAACUUGAAGUUAUUGUUGAGUGAUUUUAGAUUUUUAUAUAUGUCAGGAUCCCAAAUCGCCUCCGUGAGUAUGUCCUGAUGAUACCUAGUUCUUACGAUUAGAUAAGCCUAACAAUACGGAAUAUAAACCAAAUUACAAAGGAAAAUAAUAAAAAAUUGAAUAACAAAAUAAAUCAGUGUUUAGAGUGUCGCAUGUCACAUACAGUAACAACUCUCGAAAACUAACGAAAAUUCUCAAAGCCCGGAAUCUCACAAAUCACAAGCUAAGGGAUAUAUAAGAAUCUCUGACUCAAGAAUAUCUAUACAAAAUAUAAAUACUGAAAGAGCUAUACUUACUACAGAAAAGCUGGAAAGGAACUCUUCGGUCUGCGGACGUAGCAGAUAUACCUCGAAGUCUCUACCGAUAUGCCUCCUUCCAAGGCUGACAGAACUGAAUGGGGUACCUGUAUCUGCACAACAAAAAUGUGCAGAGGGGUAGCAUGAGCACACCACAGCGGUGCCUAGUAAGUAUCAAGACUAACCUCGAUAGAGUAGUGACGAGGAACAGUCAAGACACCUACCAAUCAAUAAACAGUAUAUUCAUAGGGAUAAUGAAAAUGAUAUAUAACUAUGUAAAUAGUGCAUGAAUGACUAUAACUCAUAAUGAAGGAAAAAGGCAACAAGUAACAACGAGAAUAUAUUAAAUGAUGAUGCGAAAUGAUUGCAGAAUAAGUAGCAUGAGCACACCACGGCGGUGCCCAGUAAGUAUCAAAACUAACCUUGGUGGAGUAGUAACGAGGAACAGUCAAGACACCUAUCGGCUAAUAAACAGUAUAAUCAUACGAAUAACUGAAAUGAUAUAAUAAUAUGUAAUGACUGCACAAAGUAACAAAAAAUGCAACAAUUCACGAUAGGAGAAAGGAACAACAAGUAACAACGAGAAACUAAUAAAUGAAGAUACAUAACGACAGCAAUCACAAUCAAAAUCCUAAGGUCGCAACACCGCAAGGGAAAAGACAAGUCCAUAACUCAUAUCCUACAAUGAUAUUCACAUAAGGCCUUAUUCAUUAUUUCCACAACACCACCAAGUCUCGAACAAACCACAACUCACAAAUCCAGCAUCAGAGAUCUAACACUUGGCAUCCAAUGCCCCAUUAGUCUCUCAGUCAUGCUAACCACUAACCGGCUGACUACGGCCACUCUCACAUAUAUAAUGGGCAACCGAGGGAGUACCUCCCUCCUUAGUAAAACUAGAGCCAUUUACCUCUAACGAAAAUAUUAAACUACGUGUAUGCUUGUGCAAGUAUUCUAACAAGAAUUCUACGAACUAGUAAACAUGAAUAGGAGAACGGAUCACACGUAAAAUGUUUCCUGAUGACUUUCGAGCGAUAAAACGCAUACGGGUAAGCAAACCACAAUCACAAUAAUAAACAUAAUAGGAAUGCCCCCACAUGCAGUCACAAUUCAUUACAAACAGCCCCUGACAUAGCCCACCUUAUUUCGCCACAUGUUCAAAUAAUAAUAUAAUAAACACCGCCUUAUUUCACCACAUGUACAUAACAAUUUUCUCACCUUAUUCCGCCACAUGCGCAACCCACAUUUAAGCAUACAACAUAUUUCGCCUUAUUCGCCGCAUGUGCAAAAUAUCAAUAACAACAAUAGCACAGCAAAGACCUCAUGCAACCCUUCAACAACUGCCGCACGGCAGAGACCUCGUGCAUCACAGUACCAACAGCUGCACGGCAGAGACCUCGGACAUCACAGUAUCAACAACCAUAAGAAAGAAACCUCGGGCAUCACAGUAUCAACAGCCGCACGGCAGAAGAAACCACGUGCAUCACAGUCUCAAGUACAACACAAUAAACAACAUAUAUAUACAGGAACAAAGCAAGGGAAUCAACUUAGGUAUUUCCAUUCACCAAAAGGCGGUACAACUAACUCACAAGGAAUAACCAUAACAGAGGGAUACUGAGCGCAAUAAGAACAACCCAACAAGGAAAAAAAUAAUAUGAAACAACGAUUCCAUAAUACUCAGUUCAACAACAAGGAAAUUAACCUGAAACGAAUAAUUACAAUUAUGAAAAUUAUUACCUAAACACAAGAUGUCUAACUUCUUUCCAAUUAAGACCGAUUAAUGCACGAGAGAUAGAAAUAAUAUUUUCCAAAUAAAGACAAGAAGUUAAGAAUGAUAGUGUGACUACAGAAGGGUAAAUGUCUUCAGUUAAACACGUAAAGGUCAAUUAGGCAUUAAGAAUAAACCAAGAAGAGCAAAUAUGUUCCAAGUAAGACAUGCAGAGGUGAAACUAAUAAUAGCGAACCCAAUUAUAUCGAGAACAACAUACUCAAUGAUGAUAAGUGUCUAAGAGCCAAAAAGGAUCAAUUGACCACAUAUAAAUCCGAGCACGCGCUCGUCACCUCGCAUUCAAGGAAUACAAUCAAUAUAGAAGACCCAAAUCCUAAGGGGAAGUCCCCUACAUAAGGUUAGGCAAGAUACUUACCUCAAAUCGCCUAAAUUCAACUAGCAACCAAAUUUUUGCCACGAGUUCUCGACUCCAAAUGGACCAAAUCUAUACAAUUUAAUCACACAUUAUAAUUACAUAUCAAGCAACUGAUUCUGUUAUUUAAUUCAAAUCUAAACGUGAAAUUAGGUAAGAUGACCACUACGCCCCUCAGGCCAACAUUUCGGAACUGGAUGAAUUAAACAUUUUCAUAACCCUCGUACUCUCACGAGUCUAACCAUAUAAAAAUCUUUCAAAUCGGAAGUCAAACACUCUCCCAAAACUCAAUAAUUCAGUCUAUGAAGUUCUAUUUAUUUUUCGUUAGAAAUCUGAAAUUAAAGAAUGAAAUUAAGAGGAGAUUCAUGGAAAUUGAUCUAAAUAGAGUGAGAAUUACUUACCCAAGCCUCCCAGGUGAAAAUCCCUUCAAAAAUCACCAAAAUCCGAGCUCUAGAAGUAAAAAUGUAAUAAAAAUGGUGAAACCCUCGAAAUGGAAUUUAAUCAGUCUGCCCAAAAAAUAGGUCAUUGCGAAAGCGGAAGGAGCAUCGCUAUUACGAAGAGGCAAAAAGUGAAGGUAUUCAGUUACUCAUCGCGAACGCAACAACGCGUCCACGAACGCGAAGAAGAAGAAUUUGAAGGCCCAAGGAUUGCCCUUCACAAAUGCGUGAAUGUCUACGUGAACGCGAAAGGUGAGACAACAUAACUAUGCAAAUACAGGAGGGUAGACUCGAACGCGGUCAAGUGAGAGGCAGAGCUUCGCGAACGCGAGGCUCUAAACGCGAACGCGUAGAAGGAUUUUCCAGGUGGCCAAGAUAAGCCUUCGUGAACGCGAAGAAGGAGUACAAGAAGCAGCAACAGCAGUUUAAAACACGGGGAAGUGACUCGUAGCCCAUUCGAAACACACCUGAGGCCCCCGGAACCCCAUCUAACCCCACAUACAAGUCAUCUAACUGAACACAGACUCGCUCGAAGUUCCUAAUAACAUAACACCACAUUAAUGAUGAAUCAACCCAAACAUCAAGCUUAUGAAAUUUUAAAUCUUCAAAUAUCGAAACCCAUGCUGAAACAUAUCAAUUCAACUCGAAAUGACGCCAAAUUUUGCAGACAAGUCCAAAAUGACAUAGCGGAGCUGCUCCAACUCUCUUAAUUGCAUUUCGAUCCCAAUAUCCCUAAAAUCAACUAUGGGUCAAACUUCUUCAUUUUCUAACUUUAACUUUUGCCGAAAUGCCUCAAUUCACUCUAUAGAGCUCCAAAUCUGAAUCCGGAGCGCUUAAGUCAAAAUCACCAUACAAAGCUUUUGAGAUCAUCCACGGCCUAUUUCGGGGUUGUUUACCCAAAAGUCCAAUUCCGGUCAACUUUUUACCGUUUUAACUUCCAAAAUAAGGUUUCUUCUCUAAAUUUGACUCUAAAUCAUCCGAAAGCCGAAUGCCACCAUGCACGCAAGUUGAUACACAUAUUUCGAAGAUAUUACAGACCUUAUGCCGCUUAACGGAUCUUAAUUUAUCAAAACGACCGGUCGGGUCGUUACAUCCUCCCCCUCUUAAAACCAGCGUUCGUCCUCGAACGUGCUAAGAAUCGACUCGAAGUCCUCAUGUCACUGGGUGCUCACUUCCAACAUACACCCGCGGGUGAUCCCACGUCACCCCAAUCCACAUAAACAUGAAGACACCAUCUCAACUGAAAUUUAGCCUUUCUAGCUAUACGACUAAGCUUACAAGCCAGAAUUCUUACCUUCCAUCUAUUUCCAAAAGACCCAAUCCUACAUUCAUACCUGAUAUCAAUCUCAACCAGCUACUUCAAUUCAUGCCAAACCAUGCAUGGUACAACCACCCCUAAUGAAAUAUCACACAUAGGCCCACAAUAAUAUUUUUGAUAGUGAUACAUGCCUGAGAUCAAAUCUGCACCGUCCUGAAGCCUCAUAUUUAAUUCAAACUCUUUUCAAACCUCCACAACACUUGCGAUGACAUAAUACCCAUGAUAACCAUAUAACAAAACAUCUGGAUAACCAACCUCAGCUAAUACCAACGUCACACCCCACUAGCUAAAUUCCAGAAGCAUAGAAUGAAAAAUGACAGAAUAUGGGAAGGGAAACACAUAAGGGAACUAUCAACAAGUCAAACUAGCACAAAUUCUACUAAAAACAAAUCUACAAAACAUAUAACAAGGAAGAGUGAAAACAUAUAAAAAACUCACAAGGAUCUUAUACUGAUGUAAACCUCACCGCAGUACACAGCCCGGUCUCAACAUAUCAAAACACCUGAAAUCACGAGGGUCCUGCCCUCAAUACUGAAUCACAAGUAAGACUCACAUCAACCCAUCCAGAAAGCCUCACUAGAUGAAUUCCAUCUACAAUUUACCACAUAGACUGGCUCCCAUACAGGUGGAGCAUAGAAAUCACAACUCGUUACCAAGAAUACUUAGAAGUGACAUUAAACCUACCAAAAUAGACAAGGAAUUUACUUCUAGCCUUAUAACUCUCGACAACAACUAGAAACAGACGAUAGACACGGCUAUCACUCAAAGAACCUCCCAAUAGGAUAAUCACAUAAAUAGUGUGCAAAUCAUGAAGCGCUCCCAUAAAUGGAACAACAAACAAGGAAAUCACCCCAAUAAGCAGACAUGUGAUGAACUACAGAUAGUGCCCUCUAUAACAAACUGAACUCGUACCUGAAUGACAUUAGCUGCGCACCAGCCUCAAACCUAAUAUGUGAAACACAUCAACGAGUAGGGACUCUCCCUCUUAGGCGCCCUCUACAUGCCUGAAUACCUCACUGUGACACAUCAAUCCGAAGUCUAGGACAAUCUCUCACCAUGUGGCUAGUAUCUAUACACUCAAAGCUCCCUCUCUACUGACGAGGUGGUGGGAACUGUGCGGUAAGGGUACUCCGAGAUCCUUGAACACCUGAAUCACCAUGCAUAGUCUGAACCAUGAACUAAAAUAGGUAACUCGCAAAACCUCUACCAUGACGCACCCUGCCUCCAAAAUAAGGACCAGUAUAUCUCACCGGUCUAUGAGGCCUCCUCGCCUCCUCGGGCUCCUUCUCCUAAUCUCGUCUGCUCUCUCUCUCUCUCUCUCUCUCUCUCUCUCUCUCUCUCUCUCUCUCUUUCAUGACUCUAUAUGUCCUCUCUCUCUCUCUCUAGCAUGCAUGCCCUCUAUCCUCCUAGCAAUGUUCACCAUUUGCUGAUACGGGAUAUCAAUGUCUAACACGUCAAACAUACUGGACCUAAUGUUGGGAAUAAGUCCCUCAAUGAACUGACAAACCUUCUCGAGAAUAGUAGAAAUCAGCACCGAGGCAUAUCUAGCUAAACUAGUGUAAUGGACAGCAUACUCUGAGACGGUCAUAGCACCUAGGUGCAAAUGAUCAAAAUCCGCGUGCCAUGCAUCUUUAAGACUCUGAGGAAAUAACUCUCUCUGUAGCAUAUCUAAAAACUGAGUCAAAGUCAGGGAAGCUUCCUCCUGUAGGCUGUCUAACUCAUAGGUGCGACACCAAUCAUAGGUUCCCCCUCGAAGCUGGAAAGUAGUGAAAGAAAGCGCGCUCGAUCCAAAGAUACCCAUAGUACGAAGAAUGCGAUAACACUAAUCAAGAAAUCCAGGGCAUUCUCCGAUGCUAAACAACUGAACUCAAGAGGCUUAUACCUCUUAAAUGUCUCAAGUCUCACCUCGGCGGCCGCUCGCACAGGUGCUCUCACUACCCAACGUGCGCGUCCUCCAACUCUACCCCGGCCUAGAACUCUGAAGGCUGCAGCAAGGGGUGCGGGUGCCUGAUCACCUCGUGUAGUACGUGUCCUCACCAUCUGUGAGAGAGUAUAAGAAAGAGGUUUAGGAUUGUGGAUGUCAAAAAUCUAGCACGACAGGGAAAUCAAAUGAAGUGAAAAUUUUCCUAACGGUUACAUAGCCUCUCCCAAAUAAGCAUAGAUGUCUCCGCACUGAUUCACGAGACUCUAAUAAACCGUCUAGUGAUUUUUGACUCCAUUAAACCUAGAGCUCUGAUACCAACUUGUCAUGACCACAGUUCGCCUCUGUGUACAUGCCGUGAUGGAACCUAGUCCCUACGACUAGGUAAGCCAAACAAUGCCGAAUAUAAAUCGAAUUGCGGAAGAAAAUAAUUAAAAACUGAACUAGCAAAGUAAUUAAGUGUUUAGAGUGUCGCUUGGCACAUACAAUAACAACUCUAGAAAACGAACAGAAAUUCGCAACACCCGAAAUAUCACAAAUCACAAGCUAAAGGAUAAAUAAGAGGCUCUGACUCAAGAAUAUCUAUACAAAGGAGAAAUACUGAAAGAGCUAUACUUAUUACAGAAAAGCUGGAAAGGGACUCUUCGGUCUGCGAACGUAGCAAAUAUACCUCGAAGUCUCUACCGAUAUGCCCCCUUCCAAGGCUGACAGAACCGAGUGGGGUACCUGUAUCUGCACAACAAAAAUGUGCAGAAGAGUAGCAUCAGCACAUCACUGCGGUUCCGAGUAAGUAUGAAGACUAACCUCGGUGGAGUAGUGACGAGGAACUGUCAAUACACCUACCGGUCAAUAAAAUGUAUAAUCAUAGGAAUAACACAAAUGAUAUAAUAAUAACUAAGGACUGCAUGAAGUAACAAAAAAUGCUACAAUUCACGAUAAGGGAAAGGAACAACAAGUAAUAACGAGAAACUAAUAAAUCAAGAUACAUAACGACGACAAUAACAAUCCAAAUCCUAAGGUCGCAACACUGCAAAGGAAAAGACAAGUCCAUAACUCAUAUCCUACAAUGAUGUUCACAUAAUGACUUAUUCACUAUUUCCACAACACCACGACAUCUCGAACAAACCAUAACUCACAAAUUCUGCAUCGAAAAUCUAACACUUGGCAUUCUAUGCCCCAUCAGUCUCUCAGUCAUGCUGACCACUAACCGGAUGACUACGGACACUCUCACAUAUAUAAUGGGUAACCGAGGGCAUACCCCCCUCCUUAGCAAAACUAGAGCAAUUUACCUAUAACGGAAAUAUUCAACUACGUGUAUAAUUGUGCAAGUGUUCUAACAAGAAUUCUACGAACUAGUAAACAUGAAUAGGAGAACGGACCACACGUACAAUGUUUCCUUAUGACUUUCGAGCGAUAAAACUCAUAUAGAUAAGCAACCCACAAUCACAAUAGUAAACAAAAUAGGAAUUCCUCCACAUGCCGUCACAAUUCAUUACAAUCAGCCCCUGACAUAGCCAAUAUUAUUUAGCUAUGUAUGCAAAUAAUAAUAUAAUAAACACCGCCUUAUUUUUCCAUAUGUGCAUUACAAUGUUCCCACCUUAUUCUGUCACAUGCGCAACCCACAUAUAAGCAUAUAACAUAUCCCACCUUAUUUGCAGCAUGUGCAAAAUAUCAAUAACAACAAUAGCACCGCAAAGACCCAACUCUUCAACAACAACCGCAUGGUAGAGACCUCGUGCAUCAGAGUACCAACCACCGCACGGUAGAGACCUCUGGCAUCACAGUAUCAACAAUCGCACGAUGAAAACCUUGGGCAUCACAGUAUCAACAAUCGCACGGCAGAAACCUCGUGUAUCACAAUCUCAAGUACAACACAAUAAAUAACAAUAUAUAUACAUGAACAAAGCAAGGGAAUCAACUCAAGUGUUUCCGUUCACCAAAAGUCGGUACAACUAACUCACAAGGAAUAACCGUAGCAUAGGGAUACUGAGCAUAAUAAGAACAACUCAACAAGGAAAAAAAUAAUAUGAAAUAACUAUUCCAUAAUACUCAUUUCAACAAUAAGGAAAUUAACCUAAAACGAAUAAUUAAUAUUAAGGAAAAUAUUACCUAAACACAGGAUAUCUAACUUCUUUCCAAUUAAGUCUGAUUAAUUGCACGAGAGAUAGAAAUUAUGUUUUCCAAAUAAAGACAAGUAGUUAAGAACAAUUGUGUGACUAUAGAAGGGUAAAUGUCUUCAGUGAAACACGUAAAGGUCAAUUAGGCAUCAAGAAUAAACCAAGAAGAGCAAAUAAGUUCCAAGUAAUACAUGUAGAUGCGAAACUAAUAACAGGGAACUCAAUUAUAUCGAGAAAAACUUCAUACUCAGUGAUGAUAAGGGUCUAAGAGCCUAAAAGGAUCAAUUUACCACAAAUAAAUCCGAGCACACACUCGUCACCUCGCAUGUAAGGAAUAGAAUCAACAUAGAAGACUCAAAUCCUAAGGGGAAGUCCCCUACAAAAGGUUAAGCAAGAUACUUAGCACUCGUCACCUCGCGUGCAAGGAAUACAAUCAACGUAGAAGACUCAAAUCCUAAGGGGAAGUCCCUCCCAAAAGAAUAGGCAAGAUACUUACCUCAAACCGGCUAAAAUCAACUAGCAACCACGUUCUUGCCAAGAGUUCUCGAUUCCAAAUGGCCCAAAUCUAUUCAAUUAAAUCACACAUUGUAAUUAACAUCUCAAACAACUGAUUCUAUUAUUUAAUUCAAAGCUAAAGUACGAAAUUAGGAAAUGACCAAAACGCCCCUCAAGCCAACAUCUCGGAACCUGAUGAAAUUAAUAUUUUCAGAACCCGCAUACUCUCACGAGUCUAACCAUAUAAAAAUACCUCAAAAUCGGAGGUAAAACACUCCUUCAAAACCCAAUAAUUCGAUCUAUAAAGUUCUACCCAUUUUUAUUAGAAAUCUGAAAUUAAAGGAUAAAAUUAAGAGGAGAUUCAUGGAAAUUGGUCUAAAUCGAGUGAAAAUUACAUACCCAAGUAGCCCAAGUGAAAAUCCCUUCAAUAAUUGCCAAAAACCGAGCUCUAGAAGUCAAAAUAUGAUAAAAAUGGUGAAACCCUUGAAAUUGUACUUAAUCUAUCUGUCCGGAAAAUUUGUCAUAGCGAACGCGAAAGGAUCAUCGCGUUCGCAAAGAGGGAAAAAGUGAAGGUAUUCAGUUACUAAUUGCAAACGCGACAAUGUGUCGCGAACGUGAAGAAGAAGAAUUUGAAGGCCCUAGGACCGCCCUUCGCAAACGCGUUCAGAUGCGCUCUUAAGUCCAAAAUCAUCAUACGAAGCUAUUGAGACCAUCCACGACCUAUUCUGGGGUUGUUUACUUCCAAUUCCGGUUAAUUUUUCACCGGUCUAACUUCCAAAAUAAGGUUUCUUCUCUAAAUUUGACUCUAAACCAUCCGAAAGCCAAAUUCCACCAUGCAUGCAAGUCGAUACUCAUAUUCCAAAGCUGGUCUAGACCUUAUGCCGAUGAACGGAGCUUAAUUUCUCAAAAUGACCGGUCGAGUCGUAACAAUAUAGGAAUUUUUUUCAUUAUAUUGGCAUAAUAACUUGACCUUGUUAUAAAAUAAGAGCAAUGCAUUAAAAUAUAAAUAAGAAGUGAUAGAAAGAAGGGAGAAGAGUUUCCUUCUUUCAGUUUGGUGUAUAUUUCCAUUGCAAUUACAUAGCCUUUUAAAGGCAUAAAAAGUAAAGAUGAUGGAGAUAAAAUAGGAUAUUUAAUCUUUAAGCUAUUUACAACAUGGGCAUCCAAUGUACAAACAAUUCAUAACACUCACCUUUGGAUGCCCAUGUAAGAUAAUGUGCCUCGUUAAAAAAACAAAAAAUUUGUAUGUACAUAGUUAUUUAUAAUAUGCAUUUCUUGCAGCCUUAUUAAAAACCUUACCAGGAAAAUCCCGUGGGACAAAACUUUGGUUAAGGAAAAGAGUGCAGCGUGUAGUUACUCCCCCUAAAGAAAAAUCACUUAAUGUCUCGAAGACGACGCAUUCCAAUCUUUUAUAUAAGCUUUUCAAAUAUUGAGGUUGGUAAUGCCUUAGUGAACAGAUCAGCUAAAAUAUCACUUGAAUGAACUUGUUGUACAUCUAUUUCACCAUUCUUGUGAAGAUCAUGAGUGAAAAAGAAUUUCGGUGAAAUGUGAUUUGUUCUAUCUCCUUUGAUAUAUCCUCCUUUUAAUUGAGCUAUGCAUGCAGCAUUGUCUUCACACAAUAUUGUUGGAAUAUUCUCUUUUGAAGAAAGACCACAUGUUUGUUGAAUGUGUUGAGUUAUCGAUCUCAACCAAACGCAUUCUCGACCUUCUUCAUGGAUGGUUAUUAUCUCUGCAUGAUUUGAAGAGGUAGAAACCAUAGUUUGUUUUGUCAAACUCCAUGAUAUGGUUGUACUACCACUUGUAAAUAAAUAGCCUGUCUGAGAUCGACCUUUGUGUGGAUCAAACAAAUAUCAUGCAUCUGCAUAGCCAAUCAAUGAUGGCUUGGAUUCAUUUGAAUAAAAUAAAACCAUAUCAAUGGUCCCUUGGAGGUAUCUGAAUAUAUGUUUAAUACCAUUCCAGUGUCUUUGUGNNNNNNNNNNNNNNNNNNNNNNNNNNNNNNNNNNNNNNNNNNNNNNNNNNNNNNNNNNNNNNNNNNNNNNNNNNNNNNNNNNUUGGCGAAGAACUAAAUCUUGCCAAUAAGCUUACUGAGAAAGCUAUAUCUGGUCGGGAAUUAUUGGCAAGAUACAUUAAUGCCCCAAUUGCACUAAGAUACGGUACUUCGGCACAAAGAAGCUCUACAUCAUUAUCAUGAGGUCGGAAUGGAUCUUUCUUUAUAUCAAGUGAUCGCACAACCAUCGGGGUAGUCAAUGGAUAUUGUUCGUCCAUAUAGAAUCGCUUCAAAGUAUUUUUGGUGUAAGUUGAUUGAUAGACAAAUAUUCCAUAUUUCAUAUACUCAAUUUGUAGACCAAGACAAAAUUUUGUCUCUCCGAGAUAUUUCAUUUCAAAUUCUUUCUUCAAACAGUCUACUAUUUUUGGAAGCUCCCUAGGAGUUCCAAUGAUAUUUAAAUCAUCAACAUCCACGCCGAUUAUAACAAAUUCAUAUUUAGACCUUUGUAUAAAGACACAAGGACAAAUUGGAUCAUUCAUAUACCCUUCUUUCAAUAGGUAUUCACUCAGGCGAUUGUACCACAUACGACCUGAUUGUUUCAAUCCGUAUGAAGAUUUCUGAAGCUUUAUUAAAUAAGUUUCUCGAAAACUUUUAUGCUUCUGGAACAUUAAUUCCCUGAGAAACUUUCAUAAAAAUUUCGUUGUCUAAUGAUCCAUACAAAUAGGUUGUAACAACAUCCAUUAGACACAUAUCAAGUUUUUCUUGUAAUGCCAUAUUUAUGAGAUACCUGCAGGUGAUAGCAUCCACUACAUGAGAAUAUGUCUCCAUAUAAUAAAUGCCAGGCCUUUGAAAAAUCCUUGUGCCACAAGUUACAGUUUAUAUCUAACGACUUCAUUUUUUAUCAUUUCGUUUUCCCACAAAACCCCAUUUAUACCCUACUGGCUUUAUGCCUUCAGGUGUUCGAACUAUGAAUCCGAAGACUUUGUUUUCCAAGUGAAGUUAACUCUUCCUGGAUAGCGUCUUUCUAUUUUGUUCAAUCAUUUUUGUGUCUACAUUCAUCGAUAGAUUUUGGUUCAAGAUCCUCAUCUUGUUGCAUUAUUUCAAUAGAAAAAUUAUAAGCAAAAAUAUUAUCGACAACAAUAUUAUUUCAGGUUCAUCUUUUUCCGGUUGAGACGUAACUUAUUGAUAUCUCUUCAUUCUCAUUAUUUUCAGGUACCUGGACCUCCCCUAAGGUCCUAUCAUUUUUUUACGUCUUGGGGCUCUUCUUGAGCCACUACCUCUGUGUUAUGUUCACUUUGAUCACUAGAUCCUUUUCUUCUUCGAGGAUUUUUAUCUUUAGAAUCGAUUGGUCUACCACGUUUCAAGCAUAGUUCAGACUCAUUUGCUUUAAUUAAUUGCAUGCCGGGAUAUCAACUCGAAUAUGAGCAUUAACAGCUGGAAUAUGUGAUUAGUCACCCUUGGUAGGUCAGUGAAUGCAUCUGGCAAUUGAUAUGCAAUAUUUUGUAAAUAAAUAAUCUUUUGAACCUCUUGUUCACAUUGAAUUAUUCGAGGAUCUAAAUGAGACAGUGAUAAUGCAUUCAAAUCUAUAUUAUUUUUUAGCUGCUUAUUUUCUCCCCCUAAUAUUGGAUAUACCGAUUCAUCAAAAUGGCAAUCAUAAAAUUUUGCCGUAAGUAAAUCUCCAGUCACCAGCUCUAGAUAUUUUGUAAUAGAAAGAGAUUUAUAUCCAACAUAUAUCCCCAACCUUCUUUGAGCACCCAUCUUUGUGCAUUGUGGUGGAGCAAUUGGCAAAUAUAUCACAUAGCCAAAGAUCCUAAGAUGGAAAAUAUUUGGCUCCUGACCAAAAGCCAAUUGCAAUGGGAAGACAUUAUGAUAACUCGUGGGCCUUACCCGCACAAGUGCUGCUCCGUACAAAAUAGUAUGACCCCAUGCUGAAAUGGAAAGCUUUAUUCGUAUAAGCAUUGGUCUAGCAAUUAAUUGGAGGCGUUUGGUCAAUGAUUCUGCAAUAUCAUUUUGCGUAUGAACAUGAGCAACCAGAUGCUCAAUUGUUAUUCCAAUUGAAAUACAAUAAUCAUUAAAGGUUUGGGAUGUAAACUCAUCAGCAUUAUCAAGAUGGAUUAUCUUAAUUGCAUAAUCUCAAAAUUGUGCUCUUUGUUAUGAAUAGUUUGUAAAUUGAUGCCCAUGUUGUAAAUAGCUUAAAGAUUAAAUCUCCUAUUUUAUGUCCAUCAUCUUUACUUUUAUGCCUAUAAAAGGCUAUAUAAUUGCAAUGGAAAUAUACACCAAAGUGAAAGAAGAAAACACUUGUCCCUUCUUUCUAUCUCUUCUUAUUUAUAUUUUAUUGCAUUGCUUUUAUUUUAUAACACGUUAUCAGCACGAAUCUUUAAUUUUAUUCUUAACUCCAGCUAAGUUGAGCCACAUUUUAUUAAGGUAUGUAUCAUUAUAAUCAUUUUAUUUGUACCAGUACAUAUCAUAUGCUUAAUUCUUACAACCUAAGUAUUUCUUUGCAAUUUUUGAUAAUUUGCAUCACUCGUGUUGUUGCUCCCGUUUCUGUCUGUUUCACAUUUUUAUUUAUCAUGUUAUUUUUCACACCUGAUACAAUACCACUAAAAAACUCACAUUUGUAUUUGUUGGUCUACAUGUAUGCAGUGUAGACAUUAUCUAGUCACUGCAAUUAAUAACACGUUAGUUGUCAACAUUAAUUUAAUAUUUAAAUUUCUAAUUAAAUUCAUGCACAUAACUAAUAAUUGCAUUUCCAUUUUUUUAAAUGUUCUCAUUGUGAGAAAUGAAUUGACAAGUAAUAGUUUUAUUGUUUAAUUACUUUAUAUCUAUUGGAACAUAUAAAUAAUAUUAGUCACGUUCAAUUCUAUUAACACAUAAAUAUCAAUAAUAUAAAGUGAAAUGAAUCAAGUAUUUAAUUUCUAUUAUAUGACAAGAAUAAAAUGAAAUAAUAGAUUGUUAACAUGAUAUAGCUAUAUUUUCAUUCCUUUUAGCUUAUUUUUUUUAAUUAACUAUUUAUUAUUAUAAUUAUUUCUCUAACUUAUUUAUCUUUUAUGAUAGUUUUCACUAUGUCAAAUUUAUCCAAACUUGAACUUAUGGCACUUGACAUCACCGAAAAGAACUAUUUAUUAUGGGACCUUGAUGCUCAAAUUCACUUUGACGCUAAAGGUCUUGAAAAUACAAUUAUACAAGGAAAUGAAGCAUCAUCAGGAUAAAGCGAAGGCCGUGAUUUUCUUUCGUCGUCAUUUACAUGAAGAGUUAAAAAUUGAAUAUUUAACCGUAAAAGAUCCACUUGAAUUAUGGAUUAAUUUGAAGGAUCAGUAUUACCGAAAGCUCGAUAUGAGUGGAUACAUUUGAGGUUGCAAUACUUUAAAACUGUAAGUGAGUAUAAUUCUCCUAUCUUUAAUUCUCUAUUAAAAUUAUGUGGAGACACUAUCACAAAUGAGGACUUAUUAGAAAAAAUAUUUUCUAUUUUUCAUGCUUCAAAUGUGGUGCAACAACAACAAUACCGUGAAAAACAUUUGAAGAAAUAUUCUGAGGUAAUCACAUGCCUACUUGUGGCAAAGAAGAAUAAUACUCUAUUAAUGAAAAAUCAUGAAGCUUGUCCCACUAGGUCAACUCCAUUUCAGAAAGUGAAUGUUAUAGAAACAUAUGAUAAGUUUGAAAGAAAACAAAAUAAUUACCGUGGUCGUGGACAUGGUCGUAAACGUGGACGUGGCAGGGGGCGAAAAAAUUAUCGUCAUUAUGGUGAAAAUAAAUUUGAGAAAAAUAAGGGUUCUCAAAUUAAUCAUUCAAAUGGUAAAACUAGUAUGUGCCACCAAUGUGGUAUGAGAGGUCACUGGGCACGCAUUAGUCGUACGCCAGAACAUUUUGUAGAACUUUAUCAAGUCUCCCUCAAGAAAAAAGAAAAUAAUUUGGAGGCACACUUGACCUUUCUAACUAAUAAUGAUGAAGCAGAUCCCUCUCUUGUAUAUAAAGAUGAUGAUUUUGAAGGCCUAACAAAUAUUACUCAUUUAGAAGUUGGAGACUUCUAUGAGGAUAUUGACUGAAAAACUAAUCAUCUUAUUGGGGAGUGAAGCAAUAAAAUUUGUUAUUUUUAUGUUUGCAACUAGCUUAUUUUUCUUGAGUGUAUUUUCCUAUUGUAUCAUGUGUUGCUAGUUUCUACAUUCCUAAUGUAUUUCUUAAUACAUUUUUUUGCUGCUUGUAUUUCAUAUUUCUUAUGAUAUAUUAUUUGUCUUUUUUUUAUGGAGAAUAUAAAAAUUCCCCAGUCUUCAAUUGGACUCAAGAUUAAUAAAGAUGAUAUAUGUCUUCUGGAUAGUGCUACAACACACACUAUUUUAAAAGAUAAGAGAUAUUUAUCUUAUUUGGUAAUGAAAGAAACGAAUGUUAAUACAAUAUCCGGUAGUACAAGAUUAAUUGAAGGUUCUGGAAGAGCCAGUUUAUUAUUACAAGGAGGAACAAAUUUGGCUAUUGACAAAGCACUAUAUUGUAGUAAAUAUCAAAGAAACUUAUUAAGUUUCAAAUAUAUUCACCAAAAUAGCUAUCAUAUUGAGACAACAAAGAAAAGAUUAAAUAUCUUUAUAUUACUACAAUAAUUUCCGGUAAGAAAUAUGUGCUUGAAAUAUUACCUGUUCUUUCCUCCGGCUUAUGCUACACAAGUAUUAGCAGGAUUGAAACACAUGUCGUAGUAAACGACAAGUUUACUAAUCAAGAUAAUUUUAUUAUUUGGCAUGACCAGUUGGGCCUCCGGGGUUCUAAUAUGAUGAGUAAAAUAAUUGAAAAUUCACAUGGACAUGCAAUGAAGAAUUAGAAGAUUCUUCAAUUUAAGGAAUUCUCUUGUGCUGCAUGUUCUCAAGGAAAAUUAAUUAUUAGACCAUCAACUAUUAAAGUUAUGAUGGAAUCCCCUGCAUUUCUGGAACAUAUACAGGGUGAUAUAUGUGGGCUCAUUCACCCUCCAUAUGGACCAUUCAAAUAUUAUAUGGUUUUGGUAGAUCCAUCUACAAGAUGGCCAUAAAUACAGGGUGAUAUAUGUGGGCCCAUUCACCCUCCAUAUGGACCAUUCAAAUAUUAUAUGAUUUUGGUAGAUGCAUCUACAAGAUGGUCACAUGUGUGCUUACUAUCAACUCAAAAUAUGGCAUUUGAAAGAUUGUUGACUCAAAUAAUAAAGCUAAGAGCACAAUUUCAAGAUUAUGCAAUUAAAACAAUUCAUCUUGAUAAUGCUGGUGAGUUUACAUCCCCAAGCCUUUAAUGAUUAUUGUAUUUCAAUCGGAAUAACAAUUGAGCAUCUGGUUGCUCAUGUUCAUAAGCAAAAUGGUCUAGCAGAAUCAUUGAUCAAACGCCUACAAUUAAUUGCUAGACAAAUACUUAUGAUAACACAACAACCCAUUUCAGCAUGGGGUCAUGCUAUAUUACACGCAACAACACUUGUGCAGAUAAGGCCCACGAGUAAUCAUAAAGUCUCUCCAUUGCAAAUGACUUUUGGUCAGGAGCCAAAUAUUUCUCAUCUUAGGAUCUUUGGAUGUGCGAUAUAUGUUCCAAUUUCUCCACCACAAUGCACAAAGAUGGGUCCUCAAAGAAGGUUGGGAAUAUAUAUUGGAUAUGAAUCUCCUUCUAUUAUAAAAUAUCUAGAGCAGAUGACUGGAGAUUUAUUUACGGCAAGAUUUUCUCAUUGCCCUUCUAAUGAAUCAGUAUAUCCAACAUUAGGGGGAGAAAAUAAGCAGCUAAAAAAGAAUAUAGAUUGGAAUGCGCUAUCACUGUCUCAUUUAGAUCCUCAAACAAAUCAAUGUGAACAAGAUGUUCAAAAGAUUAUUCAUUUAUAAAAUAUUGCAAAUCGAUUGUCAGAUGCAUUAACUGACCUACCAAGGGCGACUAAGUCACAUAUUCCAGCUGUUAAUGCUCUAAUUUGAGUUGAUAUCCCGGCAGGAUAAUUAAUUAAAGAAAAUGAGUCUAAACCAUGCUUGAAACGUGGUAGACUAAUCAGUUAUAAAGGUAAAAAUCCCCGAAGAAGAAAAAGAGCAAGUGAUCAAAGUGAAUAUAACAUAGUGGUAGUGGCUCAAGAUGAGUCCCAAGACGUAAAAAAAAUUAUAAGACCUUAGGAGAGGUCCAGAUAGCUGAAAAUAAAGAGAAUGAAGAGAUAUCAAUAAGUUACGUCUCAACUGGGAAAAGAUGGAACCGAUGUGGAUAUCUUUUCUUAUAAUGUUGUUGUUGAAAUAAUGCAACAAGAUGUGGAUCUUGAACCAAAAUCUAUCGAUGAAUGUAGACAGAGAAAUGAUAGGCCAAAAUGGAAAGACGCUAUCCAAGCAAAGUUAACUUCACUUGGAAAAAACAUGAAGUCUUCGGACCCAUAGUUUGAACACUUGAAGGCAUAAAGCCAGUAGGGUAUAAAUGGGGUUUUAUGCGAAAACGAAAUGAUAAAAUGAAAUCGUUAGAUAUGAAGUGAGACAUAUGGCAUAAGGAUUUUUGCAAAGGUCUAGCAUUGAUUAUUGGAGACAUAUUCUCUUGUAGUGGAUGCUAUCACCUUCAGGUAUCUCAUAAAUAUGACAGUUCAAGAAAACCUUUAUAUGCGUCUAAUGGAUAUUUUUAUAGCCUAUUUGUAUGGAAUAUUAGGCAGCGAAAGUUUUGUGAAAGUACCUCAAGGAUUUAAAGUGCCAGAAGCAUAUAAAAGUUUUCCAGAAGCUUAUUCAAUAAAGCUUCAGAAAUCUUUAUACGAAUUGAAACAAUCAGGUCGUAUGUGGUACAAUCGCCUGAGCGAAUCUCUAUUGAAAGAAGGGUAUAAAAAUGAUCUAAUUUUUCCUUGUGUGUUUAUAAAAAGGUUUGGAUAUUAAUUUGUUAUAAUAUCCAUGUAUAUUGAUGAUUUAAAUAUCAUUGGAACUCUUGGGGAGCUUCCAAAAACAGUAGAUUGUUUGAAGAAAGAAUUUCAAAUGAAAGAUCUUGGAGAGACAAAAUUUUGUCCUGGACUACAAAUUGAGUAUAUGAAAGAUGGAAUAUUUGUCCAUCAAUCAACAUACACCAAAAAGAUUUUAAAGCGAUUCUAUCUGAAUAAAGCACAUCCAUUGACUACCCCGAUGGUUGUGAGAUCACUUGAUAUAAAGAAAUAUCAAUUAGGACCUCAUGAAAAUGAUGAAGAUCUUCUUGGUGCAGAACUAUGGUUGGGGCAUUAAUAUUUCUUGCCAAUAAUUCCCGACCAGAUAUAGCUUUCUCAGUAAGCUUAUUGGUAAGAUUAGUUCUUCGCCAAUACAAAGGCAUUGAGAUAGUAUUAAACAUAUAUUCAGAUACCUCCAAGGGACCACUGAUAUUGUUUAUUUUAUUCAAAUGCAUCCAAGCCAUUAUUAAUUGGUUAAGCAGAUGCAGAAUAUUUGUCUGAUACACACAAAGGUCGAUCUCAGACAUAUUAUUUAUUUACAACUGUAGGUACAACCAUAUCAUGGCGUUUGACAAAAUAAACUAUGGUUUCUACUUUUUCAAAUCAUGCGGAGAUAAUAGCCAUUCAUGAAGCAAGUCGAGAAUGUGUUUGGUUGAGAUCGAUAACUCAACACAUUCAGCAAACAUGUGGUCUUUCUUCAAAAGAGAAUAUUCCAACAAUAUUGUAUGAAGACAAUGUUGUGUACAUAACUUAAUAUAAAGGAGGAAAUAUCAAAGGAGACAGAACAAAGCACAUUUCACCGAAAAUCUUUUUCACUCAUGAUCUUCAGAAGAAUGGUGAAAUAGAUGUACAAGAAAUUCGUUCAAGUGAUAAUUUAGCUGAUCUGUUCACUAAGGCAUUACCAACCUCAAUAUUUGAAAAGCUGAUAUAUAUAAGUUUGGAAUGCGUCAUCUUCCCGACAUUAAGUGAUUUUUCUUUAGAGGGAGUAACUACAGGCUGCACUCUUUUCUUUAACCAAGGUUUUGUCCCACUGGGUUUUCCUGAUGAGAUUUUUAAUGAGGCAGCAAACAAUGCAUAUUAUAAAUAACAAUGUACAGCUCAAUUUUUAUUUUUUUUUAAUGAGGCAAGUUAUCUUACAUGGACAUCCAAAAGGGAGUGUUAUGAAUAGUUUGUACAAUGGAUGCUACUUUGGAUGCCAAUGUUGUAAAUAGCUUAAAGAUUAAAUCUCCUAUUUUAUGUCCAUCAUAUUUACCUUUUAUGCCUAUAAAAGGCUAUGUAAUUGUAAUGGAAAUAUAUACACCAAAGUGAAAGAAAAAAACUCUUCACCCUUGUUUUUAUCUCUUCUUAUUUAUGUUUUACUGCAUUGCUUUUAUUUUAAAACACUCUUAGCUUUAUUAUAUGAGCCAACAAUCUCGCAAAUACCAUUGUCACGACCCAGACCCAGUUAUGAUGGCGCCCGGUACACUACUAGGAAAGCCCGACCUUGUUACAAUAUUUAUCAUUACUUAAGAAGAUUUCAAAUAACAACACAGGAAAAAAUACUAGCCAUUAAGUCAAGAUCUAGAGGAUACUGAUAAAAACGUGGAAGUUUAACAAAAUACAUAAUAUCGUCCAACACGGACCCGGUGUCGCGGACAUGAGCCUCUAAGUGCAGAGUUUCAUCCUAAUACAUAGUCUGUCUAAAAUCUAAUAAUGCUUAAAUAAAGGAUAGAGAUAGAGGGGAGAGAUCUAAGGCUGCGAACGCCAUGCAGCUACCUCGAUACUUCUAGAAAAUGCCUCAUCACAGCUGAUGAAAGCUCAUCCAGCCUGGGUAUGACCUGGAUCUGCACGGAAGGUGCAGGGAGUAAAGUGACUACUGCGACCCAGUGAGUAAUAAACAUAAAUACAGUCUGAAAGUAAGAAAUCGCAGAAAAUGCGCAAAGCAACCUAUAUCUAACAGUUGAGAUCAAUAUCGGUGUAAACGGUAAAACAAUAAUACAAUUAAGGAAAUAAUGCAUGAAAAGAUGCAACACAUUGCGGCGUGCAGCCCACUCCACUUAUUUAUCAUCGAUGGCGCUCACUGGGGGUGUGUGGAGACUCGGAGGGGCUCUUGCAGCCCAAGCGCAAUAUUAGCCAUCUUGUGGCAUCAAAUAGGUUCUCGACCUCAAUAUCGAUAUAACACUGUUGCGCCGUGCAGCCCAAUCCAAAUCAUAGAAAAAAUAUCUUCACUAUCGGGUCCUCAUCCCAUCUCAGUCAAAUAAAAUCCAUAGCCGCUCGGGCAUAACAUACUGUAGGGAUCUCAGCCCUCAUAUUCAUUUCAUUAUGAUUCAUGUUCGAAAAUACAUUUCUUAUCAUAUUUUAAUAGUUGAAAACAUGACUGAGAGUAUAGUUUAUCCAAACAAGUGAGGAAAACAAAUAAAGAUCCCCUAAGGAUUUUACAGGUCGGCACAAGGUCCCAAACAUGGCAUUAAGCCCAUUUCACAAUAAUAAAUUAUGCAUCUCAAUCGCCAAUAUAGUAGAAAUAACACAUGGGAUGGACGAAGUAACAAUCCCCAAUAGUUAAUGACCCCGCACUCGUCAUGAAAUGCAUGUCACGCAUCAAUAUAGUGUUACGAUGUGAGUUCGCUAUUUCAAACCCUCUGAACAGCAUUUACAUCUAUUACUCAGCUCUAUCCGGCCAAAGACUAGCUCGCAAUGCCCUUUCUUCUCGAAUCGAUCUCCUCGCAAGUCGAAUGUGGCCAAAACCAUAACGAAUACAUUAUGAUAGGCUAAGGGAACAUAACCUAAUCGAAAAGACUCGAAAAAUAUCAAAAUUCACGGAAUUUGCAAAACUCGAGCCCCAGGCCGACUUCUCGAAAGUCAGAAAAUUUUACACUAAAACAUUCCUUAUCUUGCCACGAGUCUAUACAUGUAAAGAUUAUCAGAAUCGGAGCCCAUUUGACCCCUCAAAUCCCUAUUUUUCCUUAUCUUAAGUUCAAGCUCUAACCCCCAUUUUUUUACCUCAAAUUGUUUGAUUUUUCACCCUUAAUUCAUGUGAUAAUACCUUAGAUUGAUGUUUUAGGCACAGAAUUUCUUAGCUCAAUGAAGUACCUUGAUUCUCACUCCAAAGUCGCACCAAAGCUCCCAAGUUCGAAGGGAAAAUGUUAAGUUCUUUCAAAAAUUCGCGAAGGUUAAAUUAGAUGCUUCUGCCCUGACCUUUUCCGCUUCAGCGACCACAGAACUGCCUUUGCGAUUACCCUCUUAUGGUCUCUUUCCCUUUUUGCGGACUUUCAGUUAAGGGGCAUGACCGCUUCUGCGGUCCAAAACUCGUACCCGUGAUACCGCUCCUUCGAUCAAGGCUUCCGCUUCUGCGGAACCAGCCCUAAGCUCGAAUUCCGCUUCUGCACCUACCAAUCCACUUCCAGAAUACCGCACCCGCGGUCCCAAAUCGCAGGUUCAAAAACACUAGAUACCAGCAACCUUCAGCAACACACAAGUCCAAUUUUCGUCCUGUUGGCCAUCCAAAACCACCCCGAGGCCCCUGAGACCUCGACCAAAAACAUUGAUAUGCUCAAAUACCUUAACCAAACUUUUUCGAACCAUCAAAACACUAUAGUUAACAUAAAAAUCAUCAAAUUUCAUCAAAUCAAAGCCUAAGUUCAACCAAAACUUCUUAGACUUGCAUUCGAUCAAAAACCCGACCUAAACACCUCCAAAUCAACUGAAAUUUUGCACACACAUCCCAAAUCACCUAACGAAGCUAUUGAAACUCUCAAAAUUGCAUUCCAACCUUCGGAUCAAAAUCUGACAUAUCAAUCGGAUAUCGCCAAAAUGCUAACUUCUCCAAUUCAAGCCUAUUUCUAUGUCGGGCCUCCAAUUUCAAUUCCGAUCACACUCUAAGUCACAAAUCAUUUCCCAAAGCUAACUGAAUCACGAAUAUCACAUCAGAGCCCUCUAACUCACAAGUCAACCAUCUGGUUGACUUUUCCAAAUCAAAGCUUCCUUAAAAAGACUAAGUGUCUCAUUUCUUACCAAACUCAAUCUGAAUCAACUCAAACUCCCCAAACACAGAUAAUGAAACAUGAAGAAGCAUAAAAUGGGAAAACGGGACAGUAACACAUGAGACGACAGGUCGGGUCGUCACAUCCUCCCCAAUUAAAACAAAUGCUUGUCCUCGAGCUAGCCAAGAAACAUACCUAAAGUCUCAAAUAGGUGAGGGUAUCUGCUCUGCAUCUCCUGUUUGGUCUCCCAAGUAGCCUCCUCCAUGGUCCAACCUCUCCAAUGUACCUUCACCGAAGCUAUAUCCUUUGAUCUCAACUUCCGAACCUAACAACCUAAAAUAGCCACUGGCUCCACAUCAUAAGUCAUAUCAUCAUCCAACUGAACCGUGCUGAAGUCCAAAUCAUGAGACGGGUCCCCAACAUACUUCCAGAGCAUAGACACAUGAAAUACCGGAUGCACACAUGAUAAGCUAGGUGGCAAAGCAAGCUUGUAAGCCACCUCUCUAAUCCUCUAUGCACCUCAAAAGUUCCGAUAAACAGCAGUCUCACCUUCUCUUUCUUCCCAAACCUCAUAACCCCCCUUCAUGGGCGAAACCUUCAGUAAAACCUUUUCAACCUCCAUAUAAGACACAUCUCGGACCUUCCGGUCCGCAUAACUCUUCUGACGCUACUGAGCUGUGCGAAGUCUCUCCUGAAUCACAUUCACUUUCUCUAAGGCAUCCUGGACCAAAUCUAUCCCCAGCAACCUAGCCUCGCCGAGAUCAAACCAUCCGACAAGAGAUCUACACCGUGUCCCAUAUAAGGCCUCAUAUGGCUCCAUCUGAAUGCUGGUCUAAUAACUAGUGUUGUAGGAGAACUCUGCAAGCGGCAGAAACUCAUCCCAAGAACCUCCGAAAUCAAUCACGCAUGCACGUAAAAUGUCCUCUAACAUGUGAAUGGUACGCUAGGAUUGUCCGUCCGUCUGAGGAUGAAACAAUGUGCUCAGCUCCACCUGUGUACCCAACUCUCGCUCAAAAGUCCUCCAACACUGAGAAGUAAACUGAGUACCCCUAUAUGAGAUAAUAGAAAUUGGGACCCCAUGUAAUCGAAUAAUAUCCCGAAUGAAGAUCCGCAGCCGCUCUAAAGAAUAAGUCAUAUAAAUGGGAAUGAAGUGCGCGAACUUGGUCAGCCGAUCCACAAUUACGCAAAUCAAAUCAAACUUCUUCGAGGUCCGAGGAAGACCACUCACAAAGUAUAGAGUGACUCUCUCCCACUUCCACUCGAGAAGUUCUAUCCGCUGAAUUAGAUCACCAGGUCUCUGAUGCUCGUAUUUCACCUGAUAUCAAUUGAGACACAGAGCUACAUAACCCACAAUGUCUUUCUUCAUUCUCCUCCACCGGUAGUGUUGUCUCAAGUCCUGAUACAUCUUCGUGGCACCCGGAUAGAUGGAAUACCGCAAACUGUGGGCCUCCUCAAGAAUAAAAUAUCAAAGCCCAUCCACAUUGGGCACACAAAUUUGGCUCUGCAUCCUCAACACGCCAUUAUCACCUAUAGUCAAAUCUCUAGCAUCUCCGUGCUGAACUCUGUCCUUAAGGACAAGCAAAUGCGGAUCAUCAUACUAGCACUCUCUGAUGCGAUCAUAUAAAUAAGACCGAUAAACCACGCAAGCCAAUACCCGACUGGGCUCUGAAAUGUCUAAUAAAUUACAAACCGAUUGGCCAAAACCUGAACAUCAACUGCAAAGGGUCUUUCCCCAACUAGAAUAUACGCCAAACUUCACAUACUUACUGCCUUUCGGUUCAAGGCAUCGGCCACUACAUUGGCCUUUACCGGAUGAUACCGAAUAGUAAUCUCAUAAUCUUUUAGUAACUCAAGCCACCUCCGCUGCCUCAAAGUAAGAUCCUUUUGCUUGAAAAAAUGCUGAAGACUGUGAUGAUCAGUGAAUACCUCAGAAGAUACGCCAUAUAAGUAGUGCCUCCAAAUCUUCAAAGCAUGAACUAUCGCAGCCAACUCUAAGUCAUGAAUAGGUUAGUUCUUCUCAUGGGGCUUCAACUGUCGAGAAGCAUAAGCAAUCACUCUACCAUCCUGCAUCAACACACAACCGGUCCCGAAUCUCAAAGUAACACAAUAAAUUGUGUAAGAACAUGAAGUUCAUGGCAAGACCAAUACUGGAGCUAUGGUCAAAGAUCUCUUGAGCUUCUGAAAGCUCUCCUCAUAUUCAUCCGGCCAUACAAAUGGAGCACUCUUCUGUGUCAACUUGGUCAAGGGCAUGGCAUUAGAUGAGAAACCCUGAACGAACCGGUGAUAAUAACCCGCCAAUCCGAGGAAACUACGAAUCUCUGUGGCUAAGGACGAUCUAGGACAACUUUGAACCUCCUCUAUCUUCUUUGGAUCCACCUAAAUACCAUCGCUUGACACCACGUGCCCCGGGAAAGCCACUGACCCAAGCCAAAACUCACACUUGGAGAACUUUGCAUAAAGCUUCUCCUCCCCCAAUUUCUUCAAUACCACUCGCAAAUGCUCUACGUGCUCCUCCUGACUACAUGAGUAUACCAUAAUAUCAACAAUGAAUACAAUGACAAACGAAUCCAGAUACGGCUAAAAUACACUAGUCAUCAGAUGUAUGAAUGCUGCUGGGUCAUUGGUCAGCCCAAAAGACAUAACAAGAAACUCAUAGUGACCAUAUCUCGUCCUAAAAGUAUUCUUAAGAAUAUCCAAAUCCUUGAUCUUCAACUGGUAAGAACCCGAACUAAGAUCAAUCUUAGAAAACACCCUCGCUCCCUGAAGAUAAUUGAAUAAACCAUCAAUACGACGUAGGGAAUACUUGUUCUUCACUGUCACUUUGUUCAACUGCCUGUAGUCAAAGCACAUUCUCAUUGUGCCAUCCUUCUUCUUUACAAAUAAACCAGGUGAACCCUACGGUGACACACUCAGUCGAAUAAACCCCUUUUCUAGGAGUUCCUGAAGUUUCUCUUUUAAUUCUUUUAACUCUGCUGGUGCCAUCCGAUACGGCAUAAUGGAAAUGGGCUUGGUUCCCGUCACCAAGUCAAUACCAAAAUCAAUAUCCCUGUCCGGUGGCAUACCCGACAGGUCUGUAGGAAAUAUAUUAGGAAAAUCCCUCAUAACGAGUACAGAAUAAAUGCUAGGAGUCUCAGCUCCAACAUCUUGCACAAAGGCAAAUAUGAGAGACAACCCUUCCCAACCAUACGCUGAGCUUUCAAGAAGGAAAUAACUUUACUAGGAACAUAGUCAGUCAUACCAUGCCACUCGAUCCUCGAAACACCCGGCAUAGCCAAGGUAACUGUCUUUGCAAGAUAGUCUAAAAUAGCAUGACACGGAGACAACCAAUCCAUGCCCAGAAUAACAUUGAAGUCUACCAUGCUCAAAAGAAAUAAAUCAACUCGGGUCACCUAACCACCACUAGUAAUAAGACAGGACCGAUACACAUGGUCCGCAAUAAUAGUAUCGCCCACCGGGAUAGAACGUGCACAGGUAAAUCAAAAAACCCUCAGGUCAUACCCAAAUGGUGAGAAAAAUAUGAUGACACAUAAGAAUAGGUAGAACCGGGAUCAAAUAAGAUAGAGGAAUCUCUAUGGCAGCCUGAAAUAAUACCUAUGAUAACAGUAUCUGAUGUAAGGGCAUUUGUCCUGCCUGGGAUAGCGUAAAAUCGAGCCUGGCCGCCUCCACCUCUGAGGAAACCCCUAGCUGCUUGGCCUCCACCCCUAUCUGACUAGGCAGGUGCUGAAUAAAUCGGAGCAGAAGACGAGGGCUCAUCCCUCUACUGAGGCUGACCACCACGGCGUCAAGGACACUGCCUCCUCAUAUGGCCAAACUCGCCGCACUCGUAGCAACUACCAGGUGCUGGAGAAGGGGACUGAAGGGAACCCCUCGCACCUGAAUAACCCGCCGAUGAGCUCUGCGGAGAAGAACCCUGAGCUGAAGGGGCAUAUGAUGAGCUCUGAGCUGGGAAGGCACUAAGUGCAGAUUGGCCCUGCUGGAACCCCUUGUGACCAUGGUCUGAAGAUGCCCCACGAUACUCGGGACGAGCUGACUGAUGAGGCUUGAAAGAAUGACCUCUACUCUGCUGAACCUGGCCCCUAGACGGAGCACUACUGAAACUACCCGAUCCUUGAGGCCUCUUGGCCACUCUCUCCUUUCUCUCCUGACGGCGAGCCGUCUCAAUAUCACGAGCAAUAUCAACUGCAUCCUCGAAGGUAUGACUCAGAAUCCUCUCUCGACUCAUUAGAAUACGGAUGGGAUAGACCAGUCCGUCCACAAACCUCCUAAUCAUCUCCUGAUCAGUCAGGACCAUCCAGGGAGCAUAGAUAGCCAACUCCAAAAAUCUCACCUCAUACUGAGACAUAGUCAUAUCUCCCUAACGAAGCCACUCAAACUGUCUACGUAGCUCCUCCCUCUGAGACUGCGGUACCCACUUCUCCAGGAAGAGAGUGGAGAACUCCUGCCAUGACAAAGGCACCGCACCCACCGGCCUACGCCGCUCAUAUGCCUCCCACCAACUGAAGGCUGCUCCAGAGAACUAAAAGUUAGUAAAUGAUACACCACUCGACUCCAAGAUCUGUGUUGUCUGAAGCAUACGUCGACACUUGUCGAGAAAACCCUGGGGAUCCUCGCCCAGAACACCUCUGAAAGUAGCAGGCGAGUGUCUACUGAACCUCUCAAGACGAUGCUACUCAUCGUCCAGCAUAGUUGGAACCACAUCAUCCUGAACCGGGGCAACCGGCUAAAUUGGGUCAACCUACUGAGUCGGUGGUGCCUCUGGUGUCUGCAAAUCCUGCACUACCUACUCAGGUGUGCGAGUAGCGGGGGUCUGAUUGCCUCCCCCAGCCUACAAAGUAGCUGCUGCAGUAGUGGCUGAGACUGCCUGAGCCAGGCCAGUGCAAGUCGAUAGAAUCUGAGCUAGGGCCUCCUGAAGACCCGAUAUCACAAUAGGCAAAAAUGGUGCCUGAACAGGUGUUGCUAGAGUCUCUACAGCUGGAACCUGAUCCUGAGUCGGGGCAACUGGUGGGUGAACAAGUGCUGCUUCUGGAGCCUCUCAAGGAUAAAUCCAAAUGUCUCUGCACCGAUCCGCGAGACUCUACUAAACCGGCUCAAAACGCGCGAGACCAAGUAACCUAGGCUCGAAAACCAACUUGUCACAACCUCGACCCAAUCAUGAUGGCGCCCAGUACACUACUAGGCAAGUCCGACCUUGUUAAAAUAUUUCCCAUAACUUAAGUAGAUUUCAAAUAACAACACGGGGAGAAAUACUAGCCGUUAAGUCAAGAUCUAGAGGAUACUGAUAAAAAUGAAGAAGUUUAACAAAAUACAUAAUAUCGUCCAACAUGGACCCGGUAUCGCGAACAUGAGCCUCUAAAUAUAGAGUUUCACCCUACUACAUAGUCAAUCUAAAAGCUGAUAAUGCUUAAAUAAAGGAUAGAGAUAUAGGGGAGAGAUCUAAGGUUGCGAACGUCAUGCAGCUACCUCGAUACUCCCAAAGAAUGACUCUGCAUAGCUUAUCAAAGAUCACUCAGCCUGGGUAUGACCUGGAUCUGCACGCAAGGUGCAGGGAGUAAAGUGAGUACUCUGACCUAAUGAGUAAUAAAAAUAAAUACAGUCUGAAAGCAAGAAAUCACAGAAAAUGCACAAAGCAACCUAUAACUAACAGUUCAGAUCAAUAUCAGUGUAAAAACUUAAAACAAUAAUACAGUUAAGGAAAUAACGCACGAAAAGAUGAAACACAUAUAACGGUACACUCUAGUACCCGCUGCGGCGUGCAGCCCGCUCCACUUAUUUAUCAUCGACGACGCUCACUUGGGGGGUGUACAGACUCCGGAUAAGCUCCUACAGCCCAAACGCAAUAUCAGCCAUCUCGUGGCAUCAAAUAGGAUCUCGGCUUCAAUAUCGAUAUAACACUGUUGCGGCGCGCAGCCCGAUUCAAAUCAUAGGAAAAGCAUCCCCACUAUCGGGUCCUCAGCCCAUCUCAGUCAAAUAAAAUCCACAACCGCUCGAGAAUAUCAUACUGUAUGGGUUUCAGCCCUCAUAUUUCUUUCAUUAUGAUUCAUGUUCGAAAAUACAGUUCUUAUCAUAUUUUUAAUUGUUGAAAACAUGACCGAGAGUAUAGUUUAUGCAAACAAGUGAGGAAAACAAAUAAAGAUCCCUUAAGGAUUUUACAAGUCGUCACAAGCCCCAAACAUGGCAAUAAUCCCAAUUCACAGUAAUAAAUAAAGUAUGCGUCUGAAUCGCCAAUAUAGUAGAAAUAACACUCCGGGUGGACCAAGUAACAAUUCCCAAUAGUCAACGACCCCGCACUCAUCAUGGAAUGUGUGUCACGCCUCAAUAUAGUGUUACAAUGUGAAAAUCUAGGGUUUCAAACCCUCAGAACAACAUUUACAUCUAUUACUCACCUAUUGCCGGCCAAAGACUAGCUCGUAAUGCCCUUUCCUCUCGAAUCGACCUCCUCGCGCGUCGAAUCUGGCCAAAACCAUAACAAAACAUUAUGAGAGGCUAAUAGAACAUAACCCAAUCGAAAAGACUCGAAAAACAUCAAAAUUCACGGAAUUUGCAAGACCCGAGCCCCGGGCCCACUUCUCGAAAGACAAAACUUUUACACCAAACGUUCUUUGUCUCGCCACAAUUCAAUACAUUUAAAGUUUAUCAGAAUCGGAGCCCAUUUGACCCCUCAAAUCCCUAUAUUUCCUUCUCUUAAGUUCAAGCUCUAACCUCCAUUUUCGACCUCAUUUCUUUGAUUUUUCACGCUUAAUUCAUAUGAUAAUACCAUAGAUUAGUGUUUUAGGCUCAUAAUUUCUUAUCCUCAUAGAAGGUUAAAUUAGAUGCUUCUGCCCAAACCUUUUUCGCUUCUGCGUCCGCAGAACCGCUUCUGCGGUUAUCGCUCAUGCGGUUUCUUUUUGCUUCUGUGGACUUUCACUUAAGGGGCAUGACCGCUUCUGCGGUCCAAAACUCGCACCCGCGAUACCACUCCUUCAGUCAAGGCUUUUGCUUCUGCAGAACCAGCCCUGAGCUCGAAUUCUGCUUCUGUGCCUACCCAUCCGCUUCCGCGAUGCUGCACCUGCGGUCCCAAAAUCGCAGGUGCAAAAACACCAGAUACCAGCAACCUUCAGCAACACACAAGUCCAAUUUUCUUCCCGUUGGCCAUCCGAAACCACCUCGAGUCCCCCGGGACCUCGACCAAAGCACAUACAUGCUCCAAUACCUUACCCGAACUUUCUCGAACCAUCAAAACACUAUAGUUAACAUAAAAGUCAUCAAAUUUUAUCAAAUCAAAUCCUAAGUUCAACCAAAACUUCCGAAAUUGGCAUUCGAUCAAAAACCUGACCUAAACACCUCUGAAUCAACUCAAAUUUUGAACACGCAUUCCAAUUUACCGAAUGAAGCUACUGCAACUCUCGGAAUUCCAUUCUGACCCUCGGAUCAAAAUCUCACCUAUCAACUGGAUUUCGCCAAAAUGCUAACUUCGCCAAUUCAAGCCUAAUUCUACACCGGCCUCCAAUUUCAAUACCGACCACACUCCUAAGUCAAAAAUUACUCCUUGAAGCUAACUGAAUCACCCAAAAUCACAUCUGAGCCUUAUAGCUCAUAAGUCAACAUCCGGUUGACUUUUUCAAACCAAAGAUUCCUUAAAGAGACUAAGUAUCUUAUUUCCUACCAAACUCAAUCCGAAUCAACUCAAACUCCCCAAACACAGAUAAUGAAACAUGAAGAAGCAUAAAAUGGGAAAAUGGGACAAUAACACAUGAGACGAUGGGUCGGGUCGUCACAUCCAUAUUACGAGUUGAUAGUACGCACACAUGUGACCAUCUUAUAGAUGCAUCUACCAAAACCAUAUAUUAUUUGAAUGGUCCACACGGAGGGUGAAUGUGCCCACAUAUAUCACCCUGUAUAAGUUCCAGGGAUGCAGUGUAUUCCAUGCUAACUUUAAUAGUUGAUGGUCUAAUAUUUAAUUUUCCAUGAGAACAUACAGCUCAAGAGAAUUCCUUAAAUUGAAGAAUCUUCUGAUUCUUCAUUGCAUGUCCAUGUGAAUUGUCAAUUAUUUUACGCAUCAUAUUAGAACCAGGAUGGCCCAACCGGUCAUGCCAAAUAAUAAAAUUAUCUUGAUUAGUAAACUUCUCAUUUAGUACGUCGUGUGUUUCAAUCCUGCUAAUACUUGUGUAGUAUAAGCCGAACGAAGGAGCAGGUAAUAUUUCAAGCACAUAUUUCUUACCGGACAUUAUUGUAGUAAUAUAAAGAUAUUCAAUUUUUUCAUCAUUUGUAGUCUCAAUAUGAUAGCCAUUUUGGCAAAUAUCUUUGAAACUGUCACGACCCCAGUUCGCCCUCCGUGAACAUGUCGUGACAGCACCUAGUCCCUAUGACUAGGUAAGCCUAACAAUGCGGAAAUAUAAUCAAUUGCGGAAGAAAACAUUUAAAUUGAACCAAGUAAAUAACUGAAUGAACAAGGUGCCACCUGGCACAUACAGUAUCAACUCUCUCAUAACUAAUCAAAACUUCCCAAAACCCGGAAUCUCACAGAUCAUAUGCUAAGGGAUACAAGAGACUCUAACUCAAGAAUGUCCAUACAAAAGAGAAAUACUGAAAGAACUAUACUUAUUACAGAAAGAUGGAAAGGGACUCCUCGGUCUGUGUGCGUCGCAGAUAUGCCUCGAAGUCUCCACCAAUACGCCUCCUUCCAAGGCUGACCGAACUGAAUGAGAGUACCUGAAUCUGCACAACAAAAGUGUGCAGAAGAGUAGCCUGAGCACACCACAAUGGAACCCAGUAAGUAUCAAGACUAAUCUCGAUGGAGUAGUGACGAGGAACAGUCGAGACACCUACCGGUCAGUAAACAGUAUUAUAGAAAUAUAGAGAUGAUAUGUAAAUAUGUAAAGACUGCACGGAUGAGUAAAAUGCUACAAAAUCACAAUAAGGCUAACCGACAAUAAGUAACAAUGAGAAUACAAUAAAUGAUAAUAUGUAAAUGACGGCAGAAAUCACAAUCUAAAUCAUGCUGUCGCAACACAACAAGGACAAACAAAUCACUAAGUCAUUAUUCUGCAAUGAUGCUUACAUAAGGUCCUUCCAACUCCUUCCACAAUUCUACCACAAACUCUCAGACCAGCCACAACUCAUGGAAACCUAGCAUCUGAAGUCUAACACUUGGCAUCUUGUGCCUCAUCAAUAACACGGUCAUGCUGACAACUAAAUAGUCAACUAGGGUCACUCUCACAUAUAUAAUGGGUAAACGAGGGCAUAUCCCUACCCCUAGCCAAAUCAGAAGGGAUUCAUAUCUAAUAGGAGGGUCUAACUACGUGUAUGCUUGUGCAAGUGUAACUAACAGGAAUCUUACCAACUAGAAUCAAUAACACGAUCAUGCUGACAACUAACUAGUCAACUAGGAUCACUCUCACAUAUAUAAUGGGUAAACAAGGGCAUAUCCCUACCCCUAGCCAAAUCAGAAGGGAUUCAUCUCUAAUAGGAGGGUCCAACUAUGUGUAUGCUUGUGCAAAUGUAUCUAACGGGAAUCUUACCAACUAGUAAGUAUAAGAAAUGGAAUGACUAGCACCCGAUUUACUCACACCCGGAUAGCAUCAAUGGAAAUAUCAGUUCAGAACACAAUGAGUUUAAUAGGAAUCUCCCGGGAAGCGAACACGUAGUCGAUCAUACCAAUAACAGAGGAUCUCCCGGGAAUUGAACCCGUAGUCCAUCAUACCAAUAUCAGAGGAUCUCCCUAGAAUUGAACUCGUAGUUCAUAAUACCAAUAGCAGAGGAUCUCCCAGGAAUUAAACCCGUAGUCCAUCAUACCAAUAUCAGAGGAUCUCCCGAGAAUUGAACCCGUAUUCCAUAAUACCAUUAACAAAGGAUCUCCCGGGAAUUGAACCCGUAGUCCAUCAUACCAAUAGCAAACAAAAAUAGGAAAAAUGCCCCCACGGCCUUCACCAUUCAUCACAAUCAGCCCCUGACAUAGCCCACCUUAUUUCUCCACGUGUGCAACCAAUAUAAAUGUACCAAACACCGCCUUAUUUUGCCAUACGUGCAUCACAAUAUUCCUACCUUAUAUCCGCCACAUGCAAAAUCCACAUAUAAGCAUAUAACAUAUCCCGCCUUAUUACCCCGCAUGUGAAAAAAAACAUCAAUAGCAAUAAUAACACGGCAAAGACCUCGUGCAACUCUCCAACAACGACCGCACGACAGAGACCUCGUGCAUCACAGUACCAACAGCCGCUCAAUAAAUGACAAUAUAUAUACAUGAGCAAAACAAGAAAAUCAACAAUGGAAACGAUAAUGCCCCGGCAAGAGAAUCGACAACAGAACCAAUAAUGUCCCGGCAAGAGAAUCAACAAUAGAAAUAAAAACAUCUCGGCAAGGGAAUCAACAACAGAAACAAUAACGUCCCGGCAAGAGAAAUAAACAAAACCUGCUAAGGCCACGGAACACCAAGGAAAGCACAAUAACCUCAACGACAAAACAAGACAUAAUAAGUGCAAAAUAACUACACCGAUACCACAACAGUUGAACAUGUAAUAUAAUUGCACGAAGUUACAAAGGAACCUACAAUCAAGGAGUAACCAACAGUAAAAAGUCAACAUGAAUCAAAUAAAUUACAAUUUAAAGAAAUAACAACUAAUCAUAAGUACCUAUCUUCUUUCCAUUUAAAUCCAAUUAAUUACAUGAGAUAUAAUAUUUAUGAUUUCCACUUAAAGCCGAGUAGUUAGAAGGGUAAUAUGACUAUAGAAGGAUAAUUGUCUUCAGUUAAGCACGUAAAGGUCCAUUAAACAACAAGAAUAAAUCAAGAAGGGCAACAAAUAUCGAGUAAGACAUGCAGGGUGAUACUAAUAACAGGGAACUCAAUCGUAUCGAUAUCAUACUCGGUGAUUUCAAGAGACUAAUAGCCUAAAAGGCAAAAUUUACCACAAACAAAUUCGAGCACGCACCCGUCACCUCGCGUAUACGGAAUACAAUCAACAAAGAAGACUCAAAUCUUAAGGGAAAGUCCCCCACACAAGGUUAGGCAAGAUAUUUACCUCAAAUCGGUCAAUUCAAUACUCAACUUAGCUUUUCCUUUACCAAUUCAUCAAUGCUCGGCUCAAUCUAGACAAAAACAACUUGAAUACAUCAAACAUUGCAAGAGAAAGCAAUUUCAAUUGACAAAACUAUGAUUCUUAUACAAUUUGCAAAAAGUCAACAAAAGUCAACUCCCCGGGACCGCACCUCGGAACCCGACAAAAUUUAUAAAAAUCGAACACGCAUUCCGCUACGAGUUCACCCACAUAAAAAAAUUAUCUAAUUCCGAUACCAUUUGGUUAUUCAAGUCAUCAUUUUACUUUUUUGAAAGAUUUCACAAUUUUCCCAAAUAUUUUCUUUAGAUUCUCAUGAAUUUGAUGUUAAGUCUAAGAUAUAAAUACAAAAUAUAGUUAGAAAUGGACUAGAGACACUUACCCAUAGACCGCACAUCGGAACCCAAACAAAUUUACAAAAAUCGAACACUCAUUCCGCUAUGAGUUCACCCAUAUAAAAAUUAUCUAAUUCCGAUGCCAUUUGGUCAUUCAAAUCAUCAUUUUAUAUUUUUGAAAGAUUUCACAAUUUUUCCCAAAUUUUUCCUUUAGAUUCUUAUGAAUUUGAUGUUAAAUCUAAGAUAUAAACACAAAAUAUAGCUAGAAAUGGACUACAGACAAUUACCCAAUGAUUUGGAGGAGUUUUGGCCUUUGGAAAAUCACCUAUGGAGGUUGAGGGUUUGAGAAAAUUGAGGUGAAAAUCCCGUCAAAAACCUCACUUAACAGGUCUCACAUGUCGCAUUUGCGACCCAGGGUUCGCAAUUGCGAACCCUUGGAAAUUGCAAACAAAAACGGGACAAAAACUUUGCAUUUGCGAACUGGGCGUCGCAAAUGCGAUGAAAAAGUUCGCAUUUGUGAACACACCAGAAACCAACAAUUUUUCCUUACACAAAAAUAAGCAUAACUUCCUCAUACAAUAUCCAAAUUUGGCGACUCUUUUUCCUAUGGCUCUGAAAUUUAAAUACAGAUCUAAUGGUUCAAACAAAACUGAAUUUGGAUAUCAUUUGCUCAAGAUGGUGUCAUUUUUUCUUGAAGAAACGAUGACAAAGCAUCCAAAAACAAGUGCAACAUAGCCUAAAACUGUCUGACACUCACCCGAGGCUCCCGGGAUCCUGUCGAAUCACACACACAAUUCAUAUAACCUAGAAAUCCCAAAUCACAUAACACAACAUCGAAACGACAAAUCAAACCAAAAAUCAAGCUUAAGAACUUCUAAAUCUUAAUCUCAUGCCGAAACCUAUCAAUUCAACUGACAAGUCCAAAAUGACAUAACGGAGCUGCUCCAACUCUCGGAAUCGCAUUCACACCCUGAUUUCCCAGAAGUCAACUGUGAGUCAAACUUCUCCAUUUUCCAACUUCAACUUUCGCUGACAAUUUACUCUACGGACCUCCAAAUCUGAAUCCGGAUGCGCGCCUAACUCCAAAAUCACCAUACAAAUCUGUUGAGAUCAUCCAUGACCCAUUCCGGAGUCGUUUACCCAAAAGUCCGGUUCCGGUCAAAUUUUUACCAUUCUAACUUUCAAGAUAAGGUUUCUUCUCUGUAAUUGACUCCAAACUAUCCAAAACUGAAUUCCACCAUGCACGCAAGUCGAUACUAAUGUUCCGAAGAUGCACCAGACCUUAUGCCGCUGAACGGAGCUUAUUUUUUCAAAACGACCGGUCGGGUCAUUACAGAAACUUAACUAGUUUCUUUGAGAUUUACUACAAAAUAGUGCUUCAUCAAUAGCCAAAUUUGUUCCUCCUGGUAGUAAUGAAUUGGCUCUUCCAGAACCUUCAAUUAAUCUUGUACUACUGGAUAUUGUAUUAACAUUUGUCGGAAGCUAACAUACGCCGGAAGCCAUGGGAAGGAGGGGAAGGCCAAAACGAAAUCAGCAAAAAAUAGCAACAGAAGAACAGUGUUCGUCAGCUACUAGAAAUGCAGUCUUAGAGUUGUUCGUAUCUCCAAAAGGGAUACAGAUUGAAGAACCAGAGGACAGAUCAAAAGCUAGGAACAUGCAAGCUGGGGGAGACAACGAGGAAGAAGAUCUAGCUCGAUCGAAAGGGAAAAUGAAGGAGGGGAUGUGUACACCAGCUCCAAUAGCAACUAAAGCUAGAGGAGAAGAGGGGGAAGCAAGGAACAAGCAACGAAGAAGUAUACUGAUGGAACCGUACCAUGCAAAAAUGGUACUGUUGAGAAAACUGAAGAGGAUGGAAAAUAAGAGGAAAUUAGGGCUCAAAGCUGGGCAAAUGUGGUGGGGGGUAAUAAACUGGAUAUGAAGGGUAUGAACCUUCAGUAUAUUUCCCCAAUCGUGCAAAAUGGUAAAAAAAUUGUGAAUAUUGAAGAUGAGGACAUCGAGAAGGAGACAGAGAAAUGGAAGAAUAUUGUAUUUAUAUAUGUGAUAGGGGAUUCUCCAACUAUAUGAGCUAUGGACAGAUUCGUGCAGUUAGUGGGUACAUAUACUAAGAAACCACACAUUUACUACCAUAACGAUGAUUAACUUAAUAUACGAUUUGCUAGUAUAGAAGAGAGGAAUCAAGUCCUGUGUACUGGGCCACACACAAUCAAUAAUAGGCCAAUUAUCAUGAAGGCAUGGUCGGAGGAUUUCAUUCUCCAAAAUGAAGUGUUGAAAAUAAUUCCACUAUGGGCUAAAUUGCUAAAUCUACUAGUUAACUGGUGGAGUAUGACUGCACUAAGUAAAAUAGGUAGUGCACUUGGUAAUCCAAUCUAUGCUAGUGUACUACAAGUAGAGUUAGAGUAUCAUAUGCUAGGCUACUUGUAGAGAUGGAUGUCACCAAACCUCUUCCAAGGCUGGUGAAAUUGCAGAAUCCAAAGGGGAAGGAUUUAGGCUAGGAAGUAGAGUAUGCCUAGGAGCCAAAGUAUUGCAGUACAUGUAUGAAAAUAGGGCAUGACUGUGAUGAAAAAAGGAAGCCAAUGCAGCAGCAAAGGAAUGUGCAGCAAAAGAAAAUAACCAAAGGCAAACUGAUGUGGGUGAGAACUGAAAAAGAAGGAGGAAAUAUGGUAAAGGAUAAUGUGCAGACACAGGAGAACCUAGACAACAUGAAGGCAGAUCUGGAACAUAAACCUGAGGAGAUACAAAACAAAGAAGUAGGAUGGACCACUAUGGUUGGAAAAUCAGUAGCUAGAGCAGCUAAAUCCAAGAAAAAUAAAGACCAUAGUAUUGAUAAAAACUAAUGGUUUUCAGAGUUUGAUGGAAAAUCAUGGGAGAGAAUAAGCAAGUACCAGCCAACCUAUUAGUCAAGGAGAUCAGGGGUAUCAACACUAUCCUUACUUUAUUCCAAUAUGGGUGUAAUUAUUUGGAAUGUCAGAGUAAUAAAUAAAGUUUAUAAGUAGAAAUAAAUAAAGGUAUUUAUUAGAGGGAAUAAUAAAGCAGUUAUAACACUAGUAGAACAUAGGGUCAAAGAAAUAAAGACCAUAGAAAUAAUCAGGAAAAUAGCUCCAGGUUGGGAAUGGGUUUCAAAUGCAAGAGCAUGGGAAAAAUGAAAAAUAUAGGUUCUGUGGAACCCUAGAAUCUAUAUCUUUGAUCUUUGUGACAUGGAUGAGCAGAUUAUUCAUGGACAGAUUAGAGUGAAGUCAAAACCAAUCAGCUUUGGCUUCACAGCAGUAUAUGGGCUUCAUACUAUCAAUGAUAGGAAAGCAUUGUGGCAAAAGCUAAGACAGAUCAAUUGCACUCAGCAAGGGCCUUGGAUUGCAAUGGGAGACUACAAUGUUGUGCUAUAAGUAACAGAUAGACAACAUGGACUGAAGCGCACGAUAUAGAAGUUAAGGACUUCAAAGAAUACAUGAUGUCAACAGGAAUGAAUGAACUGCAGUAUGUUAGAAGGGAAUAUACAUGGACCAACAAUCACACAUAUAGCAAGAUAGAUAGGGGCUGGUAAAUGUAGAUUGGAUGAUGACCAUGCCUAGCUUAAGAAUACAGCGCUGGAGCCUCUAAUAUCAUAUCACUUUCAUGUAAAGUUGAUAAUGACACGGUUGAGACAAAUAAAAGUAGGCCUUUUAGAUUCUUAAAUUGCAUAGCAGAACAUCCUCUCUUCAUACAACAGGUUGAAAUGGCUUGGAAAGAAAUAAAGGAUUUGGGAAAAAUUAAAGCAGUAUGGCAGAAAUUAAAGAAGACUAAGGAGCUAAUCAAGGAGAUAAACACAAAACAUUACAAGUAGAUUGAAGACAGAAUCAAAAAGACAAGAGAUGAGCUGCAAACAGUGCAAGAAGAUAUGAGUGACAAAAUGAAAGAUACUGAGCUAAUUGGGAAAGAGAAAGAAUUGAAGCAAAAGCUGAAAAAGUGGAUGAUGAUAGAGGAGAGUGUAUAUAAGACGAAGUCAAGGGUGCAGUGGCUGAAGUUGGGAGAUUCCAACUCAAGGUACGUUUUUGCUCAUAUGAAACACAGGAAUAAUACUAAUGGGAUUCAAAUGCUAAUAGAUGAUAUGGGAAGGCAACUAGUGCUUGAUGACGAAAUAGAGGCAGAAAUCCUCAACUAUUACAGGGGACUCCUUGGGUCCAGAGCUGAAUCCAUUCCUGUAGUCAAUCCCAAUGUAACCAGAAUGGGGACACUCCUUAGUAGAGAACAGCAACUGAGAAUAAUAAGCCAGAUAAUAAAGGAAGAAAUAUGGGAGGCCCAAAAAGAAAUAUGUGACAUGAAGGCUCCUGGAUACGAUGGGUUUAAUGUUGUAUUCUUCAAAAGAGCAUUGGGGACAAUAGGGGUGAGGUUACGCAGGCAAUUGAAGAAUUUUUUAAAUUUGCACAAAUGCACAAGCUAGUGAAUUGUACUUCUAUAACUCUUAUUCCUAAAGUGAAGAACCCUUGAAACAUUAAAGAGUUAAGACCAAUCUCAUGUUGUAUAGUGGUGUAUAAGAUGAUCUCAAAAGUGUAAACAAAAAGGCUGCAGGGUAUAAUGGAUAACUUAGUAGACAAUACCCAGGCUGCAUUUGUACCUGGGAGAGCUAUAAGAGACAAUAUUAUUCUGAGUCAUGAAUUGGUCAAAGGUUAUUGGAGGAAAGGCAUAUUCCCUAGGUGUAUGAUGAAACUAGAUAUGUAAAGAGCCUAUGACUUAAUUGAGUGGGAGUUUAUGGAACAAAUGUUACAUGCUCUAGCAUUCCCAGCAAAGUUUGUAAGAUGGAUAAUGAGUUGCAUUGGAACAGUCACAUAUACUGUGCUGAUUAAUGGUGUCCAAACAAAACCAUUUGAAGCAAGAAGAGGAUUGAGGCAAGGAGAUCCUCUGUCACCCUAUCUCUUUGUGCUUUCAAUGGAAUACCUGACAAAGAGGCUGAAAAUGCUCAACAACAAUCAAGACUUCAAUUACCACCCCAAGUGUGCAAAGAUGCAAAUCUUGCAACUUGGGUUUGCUGACGACCUUUUACUUUUAUUCAGGGGAGAUUUGAAAUUAGUUCAACUAUUAUAUACUGGCUUUCAAGAGUUUUCACAAGCAUCUGUACUGAAGAUUAACAAAAAUAAAAGUUAUUUAUUCUGUGGAGGGGUUACUCAAUAAGAACAAGAGGAAAUUCUAAGCUUCCGGAGAAUACAAAAGGGAGAAUUACCUGCGAGAUAUUUAGGAGUCCCUUUGAGCACCAGAAGAAUCAAUAUAGCACAAUGCCAACCUCUUGUAGAGAAAAUAGUAGGCAUAAUAACAUCUUGGACAACAAGGUUCUUAUCUUAUACUCGAAGAGUAAAACUCAUUAAAAGUAUCAUAUUCUCAAUGUAGACUUAUUGGGCACAAAUAUUUAAGAUCACGAAGCUAAUACAGGGAAUCUGUAGAAGAUUUGUAUGGACAGGUAAGAGUAAAGUCUCAAAAAGGCAUUACUAGCAUGGGAAAGGAUAUGUAUCCAAAAAUAGCAUGAGGUUUUAACAUAAUUAAUAUAGCAUUAUGGAAUAAAGCAGCUAUAUGUAAACAUUCUUUUGACCUAUGCAGAGAAAAGAACAAAUUGUGGAUCCAAUAGAUACACAGUUACUACAUCAAAGGCAAGAAAGUAUGGGGUAUUCAUGGAAGCAAGUAUCAUGGAUGGUUGGGAAUAUAUUCAAAGCUCAAGAAACACUUGUGAAGGUUGGCUUCAAUCACGAGGAAAUAAGGAGAACUAGGAAGUGCAGCAUCAAAGCUUUGUACCACAAGCUUCGUGGAAUAUUCGACAAGGUGAAAUGAAAGAAGCUAGUAUGUCACAAUUUAGGCUGUCCACGUUGGACCUUCAUGCUAACGUUGACAGCACAUUGCAAGUUGUAUACGAGGUAUAGGUUGCAGAAGUGGGGCUUACAAGUAGAAGAGGGAUGUGUUCUUUGCAGAACAGAGAAAGAAAGUAUUCAACACCUGUUCUUUGAGUGUGAGCACUCUACAACACUAUGGAGCAGGAUAGUAGCUUGGCAAGGGAUGAAUAGGGGAGCUUUAGAGUGGGAACAAGAGCUUGCAUGUGCAGCAAAUAUAACAAAGAAGAAUCCAAGGACUGAACUAUUCAAAUGGCCUUAGCUGCAAUAGUUUACUACAUAUGGCAGGAGGGAAACAUGAGAAUUUUUCAGGAAAAAUCAAGGAGAUGGGAAGAAAUAUGUACGAAGAUUAUCCAAGAAUUCAUUGUAGAAGCCACAAAUAUAUAGAAGGAAGAUUGAGUAGACUUAACUGGUACCCUUGUAGUAGCUAAAAUGUAAAUUUUUUAGACAAAGGAGGGAUGCGGAUAUAGGAGAAUAGGAUGACAUGUAUGGGUUAUGACUCUCUAGUAUAUAUUUUCCCUGGUAAAUAGAAAGCUUAAUUACAAAAAAAAAAA
rnacentral:lncRNA from 1 species